rnacentral:rRNA from 1 species
CCUACGGGUGGCAGCAGUAGGGAAUAUUGCUCAAUGGGGGAAACCCUGAAGCAGCAACGCCGCGUGAAGGAUGAAGGUUUUCGGAUUGUAAACCUCUUUUGUUAGAGAAGAUAAAGACGGUAACUAACGAAUAAGCACCGGCCUAAGCAGUGACAGCAGGCGAGGUAAUACGGAGGGGGCCAGCGUUACUCGGAAGUAAUGGGCGUAAAGAGGGCGUAGGAGGGAUAGACAGUCAGACGUGAAAUUCUUUGGCUUAAACAUAGAACUGCAUUUGAAACUGUUAGUCUAGAGUAUAGGAGAGGUAGGUGGAAUUCUUGGUGUAGGGGUGAAAUGCGUAGAGAUCAAGAGGAAUACUCAUGGCGAAGGCGACUUACUAGACCGUAACUGACGCUGAUGCUCGAAAGCGUGGGGAGCAAACAGGAUUAGAUACCCUAGUAGUC